rnacentral:rRNA from 1 species
AUACGGAGGUUGCAAGCGUUACUCGGAAUCACUGGGCGUAAAGCGCGCGCAGGCGGUCUUUUAAGUUGGAUGUGAAAGCCUACGGCUCAACCGUAGAACUGCAUCCAAAACUAUUAGACUAGAGUGUGGGAGAGGAAGAUGGAAUUAGUUGUGUAGGGGUAAAAUCCGUAGAGAUAACUAGGAAUACCAAAAGCGAAGGCAAUCUUCUGGAACACUACUGACGCUGUGGCGCGAAAGCGUGGGGAGCAAACAGGAUUAGAAACCCUAGUAGUCC